GGGGUUGUGGCUCAGUGGCAGAGAGCUUGCCUUGCAUGCAUGAGGCAAUGGGUUCGCUCCUCAGCACCA
rnacentral:tRNA from 1 species